rnacentral:tRNA from 1 species
AAUGAAGUGCCUGAUUAAAGGAUUAUCUCGAUAAGAUAAAUUAAGCAAUAAUAUGCCUUCAUUA